GACGAACGCUGGCGGCGUGCUUAACACAUGCAAGUCGAACGGAAAGGCCCUGCUUUUGUGGGGUGCUCGAGUGGCGAACGGGUGAGUAACACGUGAGUAACCUGCCCUUGACUUUGGGAUAACUUCAGGAAACUGGGGCUAAUACCGGAUAGGAGCUCCUGCUGCAUGGUGGGGGUUGGAAAGUUUCGGCGGUUGGGGAUGGACUCGCGGCUUAUCAGCUUGUUGGUGGGGUAGUGGCUUACCAAGGCUUUGACGGGUAGCCGGCCUGGGAGGGUACCGGCCACAUUGGGACUGAGGUACGGCCCAGACUCCUACGGGAGGCAGCAGUGGGGAAUAUUGCACAAUGGGCGGAAGCCUGAUGCAGCAACGCCGCGUGCGGGAUGACGGCCUUCGGGUUGUAAACCGCUUUCGCCUGUGACGAAGCGUGAGUGACGGUAAUGGGUAAAGAAGCACCGGCUAACUACGUG
rnacentral:rRNA from 1 species